ACAAAGUGCCUGAGGAGAAGGUCUAUUUUGAUGGAAUAGAAACGAUGAUUACACAUCCUUUGUUA
rnacentral:tRNA from 1 species